rnacentral:rRNA from 1 species
CCUACGGGAGGCAGCAGUGGGGAAUAUUGGGCAAUGGGCGCAAGCCUGACCCAGCAACGCCGCGUGAAGGAAGAAGGCUUUCGGGUUGUAAACUUCUUUUAAGCGGGAAGAGCAGAAGACGGUACCUCUUGAAUAAGCCACGGCUAACUACGUGCCAGCAGCCACGGUCAUACGUAGGUGGCAAGCGUUGUCCGGAAUUACUGGGUGUAAAGGGCGUGUAGCCGGGAUGACAAGUCAGAUGCGAAAUUUCGGGGCUCAACCCCGGACCCGCAUUUGAAACUGUUGGUCUUGAGUAUCAGAGAGGCAGGCGGAAUGCGUGGUGUAGCGGUGAAAUGCGUAGAUAUUAGGAAGAACCCCGGUGGCGAAGGCAGCCUGCUGGACGACGACUGACGGUGAGGCGCGAAAGCGUGGGGAGCGAACAGGAUUAGAUACCCCUGUAGUC